UCCGGUUGAUCCUGCCGGAGGCCACUGCUAUCGGGGUCCGACUAAGCCAUGCGAGUCAUGGGGCUCCCUUUUGGGAGCACCGGCGAACGGCUCAGUAACACGUGGCUAACCUACCCUCGGGUGGGGGAUAACCUCGGGAAACUGAGGCUAAUCCCCCAUAGGGGAGGAGGUCUGGAAUGAUCCCUCCCCGAAAGGCGUAAGCCGCCCGAGGAUGGGGCUGCGGCGGAUUAGGUAGUUGGUGGGGUAAUGGCCCACCAAGCCUACGAUCCGUACGGGCCCUGAGAGGGGGAGCCCGGAGAUGGACACUGAGACACGGGUCCAGGCCCUACGGGGCGCAGCAGGCGCGAAACCUCCGCAAUGCGCGAAAGCGCGACGGGGGGACCCCGAGUGCCCUGCCUCUGGCAGGGCUUUUCCGGAGUGUAAACAGCUCCGGGAAUAAGGGCUGGGCAAGUCCGGUGCCAGCAGCCGCGGUAAUACCGGCGGCCCAAGUGGUGGCCACUGUUAUUGGGCCUAAAGCGUCCGUAGCCGGCCCGGUAAGUCUCUGCUUAAAUCCCGCGGCUUAACCGCGGGGCUGGCAGAGAUACUGCCGGGCUUGGGACCGGGAGAGGCCGGGGGUACCCCAGGGGUAGCGGUGAAAUGCGUUGAUCCCUGGGGGACCACCUGUGGCGAAGGCGCCCGGC
rnacentral:rRNA from 1 species